GGACGAUCUGCUCUCUCGAGAGCUGCCGGAUCGCUGGACAGCUAUUAAGUGCCUUUGAUUUUAUUUAUAUAAUUACCAAGUAUUUCUCCGGGAUGGAGAUAUUAUAAAAGAAAUUAUGUACGGCUCUACGACGGACACGAUACCGUUCAUCGAUAUCUUUUCAUGUAUGCUUCUCAAUUGCGAGAAGCAUACAGAGCUUAAUUGUCUCUCUAUAUGCAGGUGAUGUGUUCUUGAGCGCCUUAAAAUUACGACGUUCUGAUAUUUCAUUCGAUCUACGCAUCAGAACUCAUUGUGCAAUCAAUUCUAAAUCAUAGCAGCCAGAACAUCGAAAAAAUUUAAAGCCUCGUUCGAAGAAUGUAUACCUAUAUGUGAUUUUGAGCGUAGACGUUGAGUUAGCUGUGAAAACAUCUUUAAUCUCCGGUCCAAGGCGACGGCCGCACGAAACAACAUCACAGGCGUCUAAUGGUCCGAGUCAGGUUCUAUGAAAAUGUACCAGAUUAUGCAAAACAACGGCUUUAGACACGCCAGCAAGGCAGCUUCAGCAUUGAUGGCACAACACUAUAUCUAGACUUGGCGCACAUUUAUUGUGAGGAAAAUGGAAAAGUAUCUGCGCGCCAUCAGUUUCCACCUGCCACAUCAGGCACAGAGACCGCGCAGACGAUGACGAAAGGGUCAGUCCAAAACUGCUUUGUUUUGGCAAUUGAUAUCGCUCUAGCGAUCCGCACGUUCGUUAUGUAUGUAGAAUAAAUUUUUAUUUAAAAAGAUUGAGAUUCUCGCGACAAUAUAACGAAGCUAUAUACACCAGC